rnacentral:rRNA from 1 species
GAGUUUGAUCAUGGCUCAGAUUGAACGCUGGCGGCAUGCCUUACACAUGCAAGUCGAACGGCAGCACGGGGGCAACCCUGGUGGCGAGUGGCGAACGGGUGAGUAAUACAUCGGAACGUGUCCUGUAGUGGGGGAUAGCCCGGCGAAAGCCGGAUUAAUACCGCAUACGAUCUACGGAAGAAAGCGGGGGAUCGCAAGACCUCGCGCUAUAGGGGCGGCCGAUGGCAGAUUAGCUAGUUGGUGGGGUAAAGGCCUACCAAGGCGACGAUCUGUAGCUGGUCUGAGAGGACGACCAGCCACACUGGGACUGAGACACGGCCCAGACUCCUACGGGAGACAGCAGUGGGGAAUUUUGGACAAUGGGGGAAACCCUGAUCCAGCAAUGCCGCGUGUGUGAAGAAGGCCUUCGGGUUGUAAAGCACUUUUGUCCGGAAAGAAAACUUCCUGGUUAAUACCUGGGGAGGAUGACGGUACCGGAAGAAUAAGCACCGGCUAACUACGUGCCAGCAGCCGCGGUAAUACG